rnacentral:tRNA from 1 species
AAGAAAUUAGUUAAAAAAUAACAUUAGUAUGUCAUUCUAAAAUUAUUAAUAUAUUAAUAUUUCUUU